rnacentral:rRNA from 1 species
AUUGAACGCUGGCGGCAUGCCUUACACAUGCAAGUCGAACGGUAACAGGUCUUCGGAUGCUGACGAGUGGCGAACGGGUGAGUAAUACAUCGGAACGUGCCUAGUAGUGGGGGAUAACUACUCGAAAGAGUGGCUAAUACCGCAUGAGAUCUACGGAUGAAAGCAGGGGAUCGCAAGACCUUGUGCUACUAGAGCGGCCGAUGGCAGAUUAGGUAGUUGGUGGGAUAAAAGCUUACCAAGCCGACGAUCUGUAGCUGGUCUGAGAGGAUGAUCAGCCAAACUGGGACUGAGACACGGCCAAGAUUACAACGGGAGGCAGCAGUGGGGAAUUUUGGACGAUGGGCGAAAGCCUGAUCCAGCAAUGCCGCGUGCAGGAUGAAGGCCUUCGGGUUGUAAACUGCUUUUGUACGGAACGAAAAGCCCUGGGUUAAUACCCUGGGGUCAUGACGGUACCGUAAGAAUAAGCACCGGCUAACUACGUGCCAGCAGCCGCCGUAAUAC